rnacentral:lncRNA from 1 species
GUGCCUCUCAUAUUGAGGUAUGAAUAUAAUAGGGUUCCCGUGCCCCCUCUAAUAGGCUAGUCCACGGAACCCGUCCACUGCAGCGACUAAUCAAUAACCCACCAAUUCAAUAAAAUUUAACAGCAUGACAUGGAAAUUUUAUCACAAUCCAGCCUAUCAAGGCAAACAACAGUUUAUACAUUUUCAACACAAAUACCAAUUCAACCAUUCAUGCCAAUAUUGCCAUAAGCCAAUCAAUUAGAACCAUAAAUUCACAAUACAUCAAAUGGUCUCCAAUUACUCUAUUUUCAAAGCUAUCAUUCAAUUUUGAGACAAUUUAUAAAAUCAUUUCAUUUAAACACAUUUUGUUUAUAAAACAUAAAGAUUUACCAUUUAAACUCAUUUUUCUAUCAAAUCACAAAAACGAAUAAAAACUACUAUAGAUAAUUAAGAUGAUAAUAAGGUUACUCACUAUUGCGGGAGUCGAAUUCUGAGUACUCCGAUUCUUAAUCCUCGGGUACUAUCUCUUUACUUUUGCAAGAAUGCUCACCACCUAAACAUAAUGCACAAUAAGCCAUUUACUACAUUUGUGCUAAAUUGUUAUAAAACCAAUUCAGGCUCUAUACUAAUGCAUGAAAUGAAAUGCAAAUUGUUUGGAUUAUCGUCUAAAUACGGUGUUCUACACAAAUUCAAUUGUGUACCUAAAUAAAAGGGUAUUGGCCUAAUUCGAUCUAUCACUCGAUAAUUGGUCAAUAUGUCCAAUUUAACUCCAUUAAUUCCAUUUUUCUUCCAAUUCUCCAAACCAUCAAACACAAGUUAAAUAACUUGAAAUAUGGCAAAAUCACCCUCACAUUUUCUCUUGGAAAAUUCGGCCAUGGUGGGUGCAUCAACACUAUAAUUUUUCAAGCUUGAUUCUCACACCAUAAUAUCACUAAUUCCUAACCAAAUCACUUGAAAUAAAAUCAAAAUCAUCAUCAAUACUCUACAAGGAAUAUUCGGCCAAUGGAGGUUCUUGAGGGGUAUAUGUUUUUUGAUGCUAAACAUUACCAUUUUCGGUUUCCACCACUACAAUUCAUUAAAUUUUAACUAAAUAACGUAAGACAUCACAAGAUUCAUCUUCAAUAUUGUCUUUAUGAAAUUCGGCCAAUGAACACUUGUUUUCCUUCCAAACAUGAUAAAUCAACUAUAAACACUAAAAUAUCUCAAAAUCUAACCAAAUAAAUCAUCAAAUCUUCUCUCUCUAAAUUUGGUUAGCUAUGAAUCCUUCAUGAUAUCUUGUGAUUCAACCAUGGAAAAUGCAAAAGAAUGCAUAGGAAAGGUAGAUCACAAGUCAAAAUCAAGAAAUUUUACCUUUGAUUGCUUGAUUACUUAAAAUCCACCAAUUUUCUCUUGACUUUUCACCCUAGGGUUCUUGUUCUUUCUUUUCUUCCUUUGUUCUUGCUUUG